rnacentral:misc_RNA from 1 species
GAUGAAGAACGUAGCGAAAUGCGAUACUUGGUGUGAAUUGCAGAAUCCCGUGAACCAUCGAGUCUUUGAACGCAAGUUGCGCCCGAAGCCACUAGGCCGAGGGCACGCCUGCCUGGGCGUCACACGUCGUUGCCCCCCCAUCUACUCCUUCGGGAUUGCGGGGGGGGCGGAUGAUGGCCUCCCGUGCGCCUAGCCGCGCGGUUGGCAUAAAUACCAAGUCCUCGGCGACGCACGCCACGACAAUCGGUGGUUGCGAAACCUCGGUUGCCCGUCGUGUGCGUUCGUCGCGCAUCGAGGGCUCGAAAAAAUGCUCGGCUCCGGCUGGGCUUUCAACGCGACCCCAGGUCAGGCGGGGUUACCCGCUGAAUUUAAGCAUAUCAAUAAGCGGAGGA